AGAAGUGAGAAUGCCGGUAUGAGUAGCGAAAGACAGGUGAGAAUCCUGUCCACCGAAUGACUAAGGUUUCCUGGGGAAGGCUCGUCCUCCCAGGGUUAGUCGGGACCUAAGUCGAGGCCGAGAGGCGUAGACGAUGGACAACAGGUUGAUAUUCCUGUACCAGUUGAUUGUGCUUGAGUGAUGGAGUGACGCAGAAGGCUAAGCGAUCCGGACGAUUGGAAGUGUCCGGCCAAGCAGCAAGUCAGUUGAUGAGUCAAAUGCUUAUCAGCGGGUUGACAAGCUGUGACGGGGAGCGAAAUUAUAGUAGCGAAGUCGUUGAUGUCACGCUGCCGAGAAAAGCUUCUAGCGAAUAAUCAACUGCCCGUACCGCAAACCGACACAGGUAGUCGAGGAGAGUAUCCUAAGGUGAGCGAGCGAACUCUCGUUAAGGAACUCGGCAAAAUGACCCCGUAACUUCGGGAGAAGGGGUGCUGAUCGCAAGAUCAGCCGCAGUGAAAAGGCCCAGGCGACUGUUUAUCAAAAACACAGGUCUCUGCAAAAUCGUAAGAUGAAGUAUAGGGGCUGACGCCUGCCCGGUGCUGGAAGGUUAAAAGGAAGAGUUAGCUUCGGCGAAGCCCUGAAUUGAAGCCCCAGUAAACGGCGGCCGUAACUAUAACGGUCCUAAGGUAGCGAAAUUCCUUGUCGGGUAAGUUCCGACCCGCACGAAAGGCGUAACGAUCUGGGCACUGUCUCAACGAGAGACUCGGUGAAAUUGAAUUGCCUGUGAAGAUGCAGGCUACCCGCGACAGGACGGAAAGACCCCAUGGAGCUUUACUGUAGCUUGAUAUUGAGUGCUUGUACUGCUUGUACAGGAUAGGUAGGAGCCAUAGAAGCCAGGACGCUAGUUUUGGCAGAGGCGUUGGUGGGAUACUACCCUUGCAUUAUGAUCACUCUAACCCGCACCACUGAUCGUGGUGGGAGACAGUGUCAGGUGGGCAGUUUGACUGGGGCGGUCGCCUCCCAAAAGAUAACGGAGGCGCCCAAAGGUUCGCUCAGAAUGGUUGGAAAUCAUUCGCAGAGUGUAAAGGCACAAGCGAGCUUGACUGCGAGACAGACAGGUCGAGCAGGGACGAAAGUCGGGCUUAGUGAUCCGGUGGUUCCGCAUGGAAGGGCCAUCGCUCAACGGAUAAAAGCUACCCUGGGGAUAACAGGCUUAUCUCCCCCAAGAGUCCACAUCGACGGGGAGGUUUGGCACCUCGAUGUCGGCUCAUCGCAUCCUGGGGCUGUAGUCGGUCCCAAGGGUUGGGCUGUUCGCCCAUUAAAGCGGUACGCGAGCUGGGUUCAGAACGUCGUGAGACAGUUCGGUCCCUAUCCGUCGCGGGCGUAGGAAAUUUGAGAGGACCUGUCCUUAGUACGAGAGGACCGGGAUGGACAUACCGCUGGUGUACCAGUUGUUCCGCCAGGAGCAUCGCUGGGUAGCUAUGUAUGGAUGAGAUAAACGCUGAAAGCAUCUAAGCGUGAAACUCGCCUCAAGAUGAGAUUUCCCAUUCCUUAUGGAAGUAAGACCCCUCAGAGAUGAUGAGGUAGAUAGGAUGGAAGUGGAAGUGCCGCGAGGCAUGGAGCGGACCAUUACUAAUCGGUCGAGGACUUAACCAA
rnacentral:rRNA from 1 species